ACGGAAGGCAGCAGUGGGGGAUAUUGCACAAUGGAGGAAACUCUGAUGCAGCAACGCCGCGUGAGGGAAGAAGGUCUUCGGAUUGUAAACCUUUGUCUUUGGUGACGAAACAAAUGACGGUAGCCAAGGAGGAAGCUCCGGCUAACUACGUGCCAGCAGCCGCGGUAAUACGUAGGGAGCAAGCGUUGUCCGGAAUUACUGGGUGUAAAGGGUGCGCAGGCGGGACAGCAAGUUGGAUGUGAAAAUUACGGGCUUAACUCGUAACCUGCAUCCAAAACUGCAGUUCUUGAGUGAAGUAGAGGUAGACGGAAUUCCUAGUGUAGCGGUGAAAUGCGUAGAUAUUAGGAGGAACACCAGUGGCGAAGGCGGUCUACUGGGCUUUAACUGACGCUGAGGCACGAAAGCAUGGGUAGCAAACAGGAUUAGAUACCCUGGUA
rnacentral:rRNA from 1 species